GACGAACGCUGGCGGCGUGCCUAAUACAUGCAAGUCGAACGCAGUGGGGACGGGUGAGUAACACGUGGGUAACCUCCCAUCAGAGGGGAUAACACUUGGAAACAGGUGCUAAACCGAUACUGAUGGAUGGAGCCGCGGUGCAUUAGCUAGUUGGUGAGGUAACGGCUCACCAAGGCCACGAUGCAUCGCCGGCCUGAGAGGGUGAUCGGGCACACUGGAACGGAGACACGGUCCAGACUCCUACGGGAGGCAGCAGUAGGGAAUCUUGGGCAAUGGGCGAAAGUCUGAUCGAGCCACGCCGCGUGAGUGAAGAAGGUUUUCGGAUCGUAAAGCACUGUUGGUAGGGAAGCGGUAUCUAACCAGAAAGCCACGGCUAACUACGUGCCAGCAGCCGCGGUAAUAC
rnacentral:rRNA from 1 species